rnacentral:rRNA from 1 species
UACAGAGGUCUCAAGCGUUGUUCGGAUUCAUUGGGCGUAAAGGGUGUGUAGGUGGCGCCGUAAGUCGGGUGUGAAAUUUCGGAGCUUAACUCCGAAACUGCAUUCGAUACUGCGGUGCUUGAGGACUGGAGAGGAGUCUGGAAUUCAUGGUGUAGCAGUGAAAUGCGUAGAGAUCAUGAGGAAGACCAGUGGCGAAGGCGGGACUCUGGACAGUUCCUGACACUGAGACACGAAGGCCAGGGGAGCAAACGGG